rnacentral:lncRNA from 1 species
AAUGUGGAUUAGAGACAGAUUGUGAGGUCUCUUUGCAUGUUGGGCUAAGGAGCUUAGAUUUUAUUCUUUGAGCAAUGAUGAGCCAUAGAAAAGAAGUAAUAGUUACCUGUUGCAAAUGAGUGUCUACUUAACACAGAGGUUAAGGAAUUUAGAUUUUAUUCUAUGGGUAGUGGGGAGCCACAAGAGGUUUUUGAGGAGGGUAGUAACAUCUAGCACUGGAAGGCAUCUCAGUUGCCAUCUCUUUUAAUUCUAUUUCUUUGCAGAUGAGAAAAGGAAGACUGGGGGAUUUUAAUUGACCUAACUUAGUAUACACAGGUAAGUAUUAGAGGCAGGAUUUUGACCAUUGCUCUUCCCCCAGUGACUUCUUCCCACCCCACCCGCAAUUCCCACUUCUUGCCACCCAAGAAGGUAACGAGACCCCAACUGACCCAGGGAUCAUCUCUUUGAUCCCCUCCAGUGCUGAGAUGCUUCCUCAUGUACCUACAUUGUUCUCCAGGAUCCCAGAUGCAUGGAGUCUGUUUUAAGUGAAGCAGGUCAAGAGAUUGAAGAAGAUGAAAGAGAAGCCUUCAACCAAUGGCUUGAAGAAUAUGCCCUAAGAAAAUCCGGGAUGGAACAAUCCAUGAAUCGAGAGAAGAGUAAGAGUAAAAAAAGGAAGGAAUAAUAAAGUGGAGGAAUUCCAUGGAGACUGGAACAACUUCCAGGAAGUGAUGCAGAGCGAAAGGAGCAAAACCAGAAAAACAUUGUACACAGAGACUGAUACACUGUGGUACAAUCGAAUGUAAUGGACGUCUCUACUAGCAGCAAUGCAAUGAUCCAGGACAAUUCUGAGGGACUUAUGAGAAAGAACACUAUCUACAUCCAGAGAAAGAACUGUGGGAGCAGAAACCCAGAAGAAAAACAACUGCUUGAUCACAUGAUUUGAUGGGGACAUGAUUAGGGUUUUGAUGUAAAAGAUCACUCUACUGCAAAUAUGUAUAACAUGGAAAUAGGUCUUGAACAAUGAUACAAGUAUAACUCAGUGGAAUUGCUUGUCAGCUCUGAGAUGGGGGACGGAAGGGGGGGGGAUCAUGAAUCAUGUAACCAUAUUAAAAUAUUCUAAAUUUUUAAAAAGAGAGAAAAAAAUGAGCUCCAGUAGCUCCGUAUAGCUUCAAGAUCAAAUAAAGCUUCUUAGUUGGGAUUUAAAGCA